UGAACAAAUUCCUGUAUAUUAAGUAGACCUUUGUGUGUCACUCAAGUACCGAACGGCCUCGAAACACUGAGCGAAAGGGACGCCGCUCAGUCUGCAGCCAGUGUGGCGGCGUAUCUUGUGUGGUGCGCGUGUGUAUCGCAUUGUGUUCCUCCUCAAAGACUUAGUGGUGGUCAAGAUAAUUACAAUUGGCCAAGCCCUCCCCGAAGUGUGCUACCAUUAGUGUACCAGGUGUGGUGAGUAGCCGCCAAGUGUACAGCCACACGUGUGUUGUGUACAUGUGCAUGUUGUGUACAGGAAGAUCUCCUGUGUGUUUUGUAAGUCCCAUCAUGCCGCAGGCCCGGGAAAUUACACUUGCCACCAUAUCAAACAGGACUCCAAUUUGUUGUCAGUCCGGGACGCCUCCUCCCUUCUUCCCCUACCACCCGCCAGCAGCAGCUUCUGGCCCCCCACCAGUCAGAAGCCCCUUCACGGCCACUACCUCCCGAUGCGCAUAGCACUGCAAUGUAUGCCACGGCAUGGUAAUAAUCAAGAGACGGGACAACACUCCCUUUAAAGCUGCAUCUUCAGAAGGAAGGAUUGAUAGACUUCCUAAAGUUUAUAUAUUUUGAAAUAUCACAACUGACUUUUCUGUGAGACUAUGAACAAUACAUACACUACACUACACAUACUGUACAUGUAAUAAAAAUAUCUGUUGUAA